rnacentral:sRNA from 1 species
UUCAAAAUAAAGAAUUUGAAAAUAUAAUAAGGAAAGAGUUUCAAAUUAUUUUCUGGUGUAUGCAGUAGUUUCAAAGAGGUUUUUUUAAAAAUAAAAUUGUGAUGAGUUUCUUUAAAAUGGUAUAGCAACACGAAUCAUAUGUAGAUGAUCUUAACCAAUGAGAGCAUGUGUAUGUAUGUGUAAAAUGAAUUAAAUCAAAUAAAUGGUUGUAAAUCAAGUAAGUUGUAAAUAAAUGAAGUACAUGGUUGCUUUUUUAUGUUCUCCAUAUGUAUUUUCAAGCUCUCAAAGAUCCAGUUGUUCUUAUUUCUCAGGGUGUGUUACUGAACUUCAAGGAAUCAUUCCCAUCUUUAGUCCAGUGUUGCUGCUCUAGUCUCAUUGGAAGUGACCUGUCCAUUGACUCUCAUCCCCAAGUUCCUAAUUUGCCAGCAGAAUGGUACUGGCCCUCUGUCUAGUGAUCCCAGGGAUAAAAUGCUGUUGUCUAGUAUCAUUGACUUAAAAAAAAAAAAAAAAAUCCCUGUUUUAUUUGUUGUGGUCAGCUCAAGUUCAGGUCUGUUAGAUAACUUAAAAUCUGCUUUGCACAGAUGUAUUUUUAAGGAACAAACAUCUACAGUAACAGUUACAGAUUUCCUUAAGUGGGAUAUUUGAGUUCAUAGAUGGUAGACUUUUAUAGCCUGGGCUUCUAAGGAGGGCAGCAGACUAGUGCAGUCAGGACAGGACAUGGGCUGUUUGGGGUAUAAUAAUAGUGAGUAUAGUGAGAUUCCACAUGAUGGAAUCUCAACAAAGAGUAGGAAGGCAUUUAGGCCUUCAGUUGUCCUUGAAUUGAGUAUGUUCUCUCUUUUGUUUAACGUAGAUAAAAAUCUAACACAAGAUACUAAAACAUACAAGGUAGAAUUUAUACUUUUUUUAUUCACAGAAAAUCAUGUAACUUCCUUUGCGGGUAACUCAUUCUCUCACAGCAUACAUGAACACCGUAGUUAUUCCCUAGUUUCCAGUUUAUAAAGAUGUUUUGAGAGGAACAUGUUCAAAAUAUUUAACUAGUAUUUUGCACAUGGGACAAGAAGAUCUUAAAUACAUGUUUCAAGAGUUUUCCCCCCACUAGUUAGUAUUUGGAAACAUGGGAAUGUUUGUAUUAAAUAUUACUUUAGAUAAGUAGUUUUCGCACCAGACAAUUGCUGUACCAUAAAUAUCUUAAAACUUAACAUUGUUUUUUUAAAUUUCUAAAAUUGAAUUAUAGAAUUCAAGAAACUGUGUGACAAAUGAAAAUGCCUUUUUACAAAAUAAAUAUCUGAAUAUGUGAUAUAUUAUUGAUCAUUAGUUUGUAACACUUCUGAGAAUAUUCUUUGAACUUACAUUAUUAGAAACAGCUUAGAAGCAACUGGGCGCCGUGGCUCACACCUGUAAUCCCAGUGCUUUGGGAGGCUGAGGCAGAUGGAUCACUAGAGGUUAGGAGAUCGAGACCAGCCUGGCCAACAUGGUGAAACCCCAUCUCUACUAGGAGUAUAAAAAUGAGCUGGCGUGGUGGCGAGCGCCUGUAAUCCCAGCUACUCGGGAUGCUAAGGUAGGAGCAUUGCUUUUCGUGGUGAAAGAGGCAAUGAUGAAUCUGCCAUCGAAAUGAUUAAAGUAUCUCAUUUGAAGCAGUAUUUGGCAGUCGUAUUCAGAGAUAAACCCCUGGAGCUAUGGGAUGUUAGGACUUGUACCCUUCUUAGAGAGAUGUCCAAAAACUUCCCUACAAUAACUGCUUUGGAGUGGUCACCAUCUCACAACUUGAAGAGCCUGAGAAAGAAGCAACUUGCUACUCGAGAGGCCAUGGCCCGCCAGACCGUAGUCUCAGACACAGAGCUGAGUAUUGUUGAAUCAUCUGUGAUCAGCUUGCUGCAGGAGGCAGAAAGUAAAUCUGAACUUAGUCAGAACAUCUCUGCCCGGGAACAUUUUGUAUUUACCGAUAUUGAUGGCCAAGUUUAUCAUCUCACUGUUGAAGGAAACUCAGUAAAAGACAGUGCUCGGAUUCCACCAGAUGGAAGUAUGGGUAGUAUUACCUGCAUCGCUUGGAAAGGUGAUACAUUAGUGCUUGGAGAUAUGGAUGGAAAUUUAAAUUUCUGGGACUUGAAAGGCAGAGUAUCCAGGUAUAAGCCAAGAAUGAAAUCUUGUUAUUUCAUUAAAAAAAAGAAAUGAAAUCUUUUUGUUUUGUUUUGUUUUGUUUUGUUUUGUUUUGUUUUGUUGAGAUGGUGUCUUGCUCUGUCGCCCAGGCUGGAGUGCAGUGGUGCAGUCUCGGCUCACUGCAAGCUCUGACUCCCGGGUUCACGCCAUUCUCCUGCCUCAGCCACCCGAGUAGCUGGGACUACAGGCACCCACCACCACGCCCGGCUAAUUUUUUUGUAUUUUUUUAGUAGAGACGGGGUUUCACCAUGUUGGCCAGGAUGGUCUCGAUCUCCUGACCUCGUGAUCCGCCCGCCUCGGCCUCCCAAAGUGCUGGGAUUACAGGCAUGAGCCAGCACACCCGGCCAAAAAAUGACAUCUUGAUAUGGUUCCAUUAGAGGCUUGUGACUUGGCAAGAAGGAUCAGUAAACUCCUGGAGGUGUAGCUUGGACCCUUGGGUCCCUUCACCUAAACUUGGGAGGAUGGGCCUUGAGCCAAGCAUUCUUAGGAGAUAGUUAUCUGCAAGUGGCCCCUGCAGAAGUCUUAGCUGACCUUAAAGGGCAGGCCCUUUCUGUCAGAUGUGGCCCCCAGUCCCAGCAAGUAAAGGGUUCUCCCAUCAUCAGACCUGUUAGAAAUGGAAAUAGUGAGAGAUGUUAGACAUAGCUUCUGGUGACCAGAUCUCACUCUACAUUGUAUUGAUGUUUUUGUUUGUCUUCAGAGGAAUACCCACACACCGAAGUUGGGUGAGGAAGAUUCGUUUUGCUCCUGGUAAAGGAAAUCAAAAAUUAAUAGCAAUGUACAAUGAUGGAGCUGAAGUGUGGGAUACUAAAGAGAGCCUGUGUGGUGCCCCUAUCUCCUUGUUCCAAGGGCCUCUCUUGCCUUGAAAGCCUUCUUAUUACACCAGCCUUGGAAUGGACAGUAUUCUUUGGACAUUUCUCAUGUUGACUAUCCAGAAAAUGAAGAAAUAAAGAAUCUCCUCCAAGAACAGUUGAAUUCAUUGUCUAAUGACAUAAAGAAACUGUUGCUUGAUCCAGAAUUCACUCUCUUGCAGAGGUGCCUGCUUGUUUCAAGGCUCUAUGGUGAUGAAUCGGAGCUGCAUUUCUGGACUGUCGCUGCCCACUACCUGCACAGCUUAUCCCAGGAAAAGUCAGCCAGCACAACAGCUCCUAAAGAAGCUGCUCCUCGAGACAAACUGAGCAACCCACUGGAUAUAUGCUAUGACGUGCUCUGUGAAAAUGCCUACUUUCAGAAAUUUCAGCUAGAAAGGGUUAAUCUACAGGAAGUGAAACGGUCAACUUAUGAUCAUACAAGGAAAUGUACAGACCAGCUACUGCUCUUGGGUCAAACAGAGCUGUGCAGUUGCUGUUGGAAACAAGUGCAGAUAACCAGCAUUAUUACUGUGAUUCACUGAAAGCCUGUUUAGUCACUACUGUCACCUCGUCAGGCCCCUCUCAGAGCACCAUUAAGUUGGUGGCAACGAAUAUGAUUGCCAAUGGCAAAUUGGCAGAGGGCGUUCAGUUGCUCUGCCUGAUAGAUAAGGCUGCAGACGCCUGCCGCUACCUGCAGACAUACGGCGAGUGGAAUCGGGCUGCAUGGCUGGCAAAAGUCCGUUUGAAUCCUGAGGAGUGUGCCGAUGUUUUAAGGCGGUGGGUUGACCACCUUUGUUCUCCACAAGUCAAUCAGAAAUCAAAGGCUCUCCUGGUUCUCCUCUCUCUGGGCUGCUUUUUUAGCGUGGCAGAGACGCUUCACAGCAUGAGAUACUUUGAUAGAGCAGCCUUAUUUGUGGAAGCUUGCCUCAAGUAUGGAGCAUUUGAAGUCACUGAGGACACAGAGAAACUCAUCACUGCUAUAUAUGCAGAUUAUGCCCGGAGUUUGAAGAACCUCGGUUUUAAGCAGGGAGCAGUUCUCUUUGCUUCAAAAGCCGGAGCAGCUGGCAAAGACUUACUGAAUGAGCUUGAGUCCCCCAAGGAAGAACCCAUUGAAGAGUGACAGCUUAAUAAAUGCCAGGGAAUCUGACCUGGAAGGCAGAUGGGAGGGGGCUGGUCUGGCUGUGGCCACUGUCACAGUCCAGGAUGAAGAGGAGUACAGGGUCCUGUGAGCUGUUUGACCACUGUUCUAAGACUAUGUGUGCCCAAAAGCACAUGAGCCUCUAUGUUGAGAGUAAGUCUGUAUCCUGCAUUGGUCUCAGAAAGAAUGUGAAUGCUUAAGAUUUUGAAAGUACAUAAUAUUUUAUACUUUGGGAGAGAGCUUUAAGAGUCCCUGGAAAUACUUUUUAAUUUUUUUAACUUACAAUUCAAGAGACUGAAUCACUUUUCUCAUUGAUUAAAUGUAAAGAUUAUUGAGAAACCUAUAGUAAAUGAAAUUUGUGAGAUGUUUUCUCAAAUAUAUGCUGUGCCUGUACUUAUAUACAGUCUUUCAAGAUACAAACAAGGCAGAAACAUUUAAACUAGUAUUAAAGGUAGUUUACCAAAGCAUUUUUUGUUUUCUUACCUUGAAAACACAGAACCGUUAAUUCCUUGGUUUAAGCAGUCACUAAGUUUUGUAAUUUUAGGCUCAGAGGCCCAUAGGAGGUUUUAAGAUUUAUGUUUAGUCCGAUAGGUGAGGUCUUUGAUAUUUUGAAUUUUAACUCCUUUUAUGAUACAUCACAGUAACCUCAUUUUUGAAGUCUUUGUACUUUAAUGUUCUCUCUGUUCUAAUAGUUGAAGUAUGAGAUGAGAUGUAACUAUUAUAAACUGUUGCUGAAAACAUAAAUGUCUGUAACUUACAAACAUGAUAAAUAAAUU